UAUCGAAUGAAGAAUAAUUUAAUGCCCCUCCGUGUUAUUCCAUGUAAUUGAAUACUAAUCCACCUCAGUUCUCCAUCAUAUUGCUAUUGUUUUUGUGCAGCUGGCAUUAAAUUACAUUCCACAUGCUAAUAAAGACAGUAUAAUAGGAUAUGGAGAGGUUUGGCAGGUCUCUGAUAGAAUCUGCCAACACUUAAUGAAAUUACCCUAGAAAAGAUAGAUGCCCUUGAAACUAAUUUCAUUCAACCAAAAGGGAGAGAGAAAAAAAACUAUGUAUUACUCUGCUACUUAUGUGAAUUGUUUGUGAAUUUUUCAUUAAAGUGCAGUUUUAGCUGAUUUACGUGCAGAUACUUCAACCAUUCAUUCCAUAGACUUUAAUUGAGAGUUGCCGACGAGCCAAUUACAGUCUUCAGGGAGGGAGAGGUCUCCACCGGUUUGAGGAAUGACGGCAUCUGUACGGUCAAAGGUGAAACCACCGCUGUUUCAGAGCUGCAGUUUUUGGCAGACAGAGGUCACUCGGAGGAGACUGCUGUAAAGAGCGAGGUAUGUGGCGCUCUGACCCCAAGAACCGUGGAAUAAAAGACGCCGAGCUCCCAGCCAAGGAGGGCGCUAUUCCAGAUAUAGCCGGAGGGACCUCAGACUGAGAGCAGUUCAUCUGAACACGGCUGAAGGCAGCGUUGGUGCCGCACUUUAGACAUUAUUCCACAGAGCUUCACUGGCUGUAUUACAGAGCGGGGGUGUAGAUGUUAUCAUCUAAUGCAGAGACUCUCUACUGUAAAACCUCUGAUGCCAGGUGCAGUAUGAUGUUGCUCAACACAGCACAGCAUCAGGGCUGGCCUUUGAACCAGCGACCCUCCUGUGAAUGAGCUCGUUCUCUAACCACUGGGCCACGGUGCUGCUGGAUUCUUCCGUCAUCGUGAGCCUCAUCCCAGGACCAGGCUCUACAGAUGUGGUCAUUCUGGGAUCUGCUGGUCUACCAUGUGUCUACUAGAAGGAAUGUCGUGACCCCUGAGGAGGGGUCUCAUUUCAGUCCAAGUACAAGCUGACGGACCAGGCUCAGCAACAGGACCAGUGGUUUUCUUGAACCACGGCCCAGUCUGUGUUUUUGGUGAUUAAAUGUGAGCGCGUGUGACCUGAAUUUAAAGCUGUCUGCAAGUGAUGAGAUCACACUGGAUGGAUAUGAGGUCAAAACGAGGUCAGUGAACAAAACUGCACAAAGCAGUACUGGUGCGUACUCCUUCGAGUUGUACUGCAAAUAUAUAUGCAGCAAAACUCUCAGUAUUUAUUUACCGAGCGACACAGAGAGCAUGUUAUAUUCAUAUACUGUGGAGUAAAUUCUUCCAAGGGUUUCGACGCUGUUAUCGGUGCUGCUCCAAACCAAAGACUUCAUUCUUUGUACAGCAUCGACAAUCCCACUGAGACGAGGCCCUUCCUCGGUCCUGCUCUUCCAGAACAUUCCCAGCGCAUGAUUAAAGUUUUAUCAGUAAAGGACUUGAUGAAAGGUUUAUCAGCGUAAAGGACAAAUACCACUCAUGUAUAUUUUAUCAGCUCAAAUCAGACCUAAGCCGGCCCACGGUUAAUUGUCGGCGCAGCCUGAGGUCGGCGGAGGUCACGUGUUUUUUGGUGUUGCUGAUAAAUAAUUUCUGAGCACAUUAGAAUAAUUUUAACGCAGUGAUCAUAGAAAAUAAUUAACUUCUUGUCACUUUACAGCCUUGAGAAAAGUUGACCUCUGACACCAGACGCUGACCAAUCACGGUAAAGCUUUAAUCUGGGCUCUGACUGGGAGGCCAGGCUGGGAGACCAGGCCAAUGAGGUGCCGGAGAGUCUAUUGCUUAUCCCCGCCCCUGGUUGGGUGUCUCGAUGCUGCUGCUGCUGCUGCUGCUGCUGCUGCUGCCGUGGCUGUGGUCAGGCCUGGCAGCAGACUGCAGUGACAGACGCUCCCCUGGGAUUCCACCUGUCAGCCACAGACGCACUAAUCGACGGGGCUCACACAGAGCCAGCUCCCUUCCACCUCUCUCUGUCACAUCUUCAUCUUCUCACUAUCCUGACACAUUUACUCUGUCCACGAACCCCCACUCGCCAACAUACACCCAAGCUCCGCCCAUACAUCAACCCACUAUACUCUGCCAUAUAUAUAUAUAUAUAUAUUCUUCCCUCAAAUCCACCCCCCCAAAAAAAAACAACACUAUCUUGUUUUAAUUUUUUAUUUUUGAAAUAUUCUAAAACGUUCUGUCCUUUAUAAAUGUGUCACAGCUACACAAACGCAAGUGAUUUUAUUGUGAAUGUGACUGAGCUGCUGUUAAAUGUUCAGUAAUAAUUGGCUAAGGAGAGGGAGAGUGUUUGGUGGGAGAAGAAGGAGGAGGAGGAGGAGGAGGAGGAGGAAGAGAAGGAGGAGAAGGAAGGGUCAUGGUCAGGUUUCUCAUGGAGGUUACUCUGCAUCUGUCUCUUAGCAACGGCAGACCGCUCUUUGUACAGUCCACGAGUUGAUUGGUGCAAUUCCCCACCACCACCACCACCACCACGACCCCCAUCACUGAAAUAUUUUUCAGGCAGUGGCGGGGUGGGUAGUGAGUGUGUGUGUGUGUGUGUGUGGUGGGGGGGCUGUUGCAGCAGACAGGCUCCUUCCCAUAUUCACUGCUUUUAAGAUUUUGUUUCCAUGGGCGUCAGAUGGGCUCACUGAGGCGUGGCACAAUCACUGGAGCCGAGCCCGUCUCACAGCAAAUUUGCAGCGUUUAAAUAUGAGAGGAAAAAAAAAAUCCUGACAGAAGAGAACCAAUUUAAAGUGAAGGAAAAAAAAGUGUCAGGCCAGUGGCUAUUUGAAAGUAAUAUGUCUUUGUAGGAUAUUUAAUGAUUUGUUUGGAGGUUUGGGUAAAAUAGUCAAACGGUCGUUCCUCGUCGUUCCUGGACGACUCACGUCACCACUCUGACCACUUCACUUGAGCCAGUGUCAGGGAGAGGGCGGCCCGGGGUCAGAGGUGAGUGAAGGAGCCAGAGGCACCUCUUGAUUCACACUGUCAGGCUGAAGACAACGGGACGACACAGUCAGAGCCGUGUGCUGUCAGUGGGCAACAUGAAACAGGAGAAGAAGGGCAAUUUCAGGAUGGAAAGCUGGAAAUAAGAGGAAAAAAAAAACAAAACAAAACACUGUUUUGCCCCCCCCUUCCUCCAAAAUGUCCCUUAAACUGAACCGACAUCUUCUUGGUCCACACCAGUCUGUGCUCGUGUUCAUCAUCAUCUUUUUCCAAAUCUUUGUUUGGUCAGAAAAAGUAUGAAGUAUGAAGUAUUCACGUAAGGAAGUUUACUUUUACAGAACUUUUCACAGAGAGAAUUCUCAAAGUACCUCAUAGUAAAAUCUGAAAAGAAAAAGAAAAUACAGGAUACUGAAUAUAAAAACAGUAACACAACCUUCACCUGACAAAAAAAAAAAACUGUCUAACAACAAUCUGCUCUUUAAGGGACUUGACAGAAUUUAAAGUGAGCAGAAAAGGUGACAAAACAUUAUAGUUAUAACAAGCUGUUUUUUUUUUUUGUUUGUUUGUUUUUUUAGGCAAUGACUCCCAACAAGAAUUCCCGACCUUUCGCAGAACCAAAAAAAAUCCUAAUCCUAAUGGAGCAGAAGUUCAUCUCUGAGGCUGCAGUUCCAGUAACAAUGUACAGUCGAAGUGACUGUGACGGACUGGAGAGAAACCACAGAUGACGGAGAGAAGAAGGGGCCAAAGUGUGACUCCACACACAGAAGUCACGUGUCGUCUGCAGCCACUGAUCACCUGUGGAAAAAAAAGCGGACAAAGAAGAGCUGCUCGAUCACAGAGGAGGAGACGGUGCGCAGGGAAGGCAAACGCAGCAGCAGCUUCCCAAAUCUGGUGGGCUGGUUGGGGUACUGGCUCCUCACGUACUCCUCUAGUGCACACUGGGAUUUCUCCUGCAGCCCCUCUAUGUGCACCAAAUCCGAGAGACCACAAGCAUCUGCAGACAGGGAGGAGGAGAAGUGAUCGUCUCUUAUUGGGAGUCAGGAAGGACGAUGGCCUUGAUGCAGCUGUACUCGGCUGAAUCCACGUGCAGCACCUUCAGCUUCUCCACCUGUUCCUGGAAAACCCGGAUGUUGUCCAUGAAGGCCACCACCCUGUCGGCGGACAUCGGAGAGGCGUGAAGG